UAUCAGUAAAUGAAUCAAAUGAAGAAUCUUCAUGGUUAAAUGCAUAGAAAGGAUAUUUGAAGAGAGCCAAUGAUUGACAUAAGGAGAAGCAGUUAUGAAUUUUGAAAUUGAUAUAAAGGAGAGGUCAUUCAUCACAGAAGAUUUAAUCAAAGUUUACAGUAUGUUGAGAGAAGUUCAGAACAAGCAAUUUGGUUGAAGAGGAGUUGUCAACACGUCAUCUUUGAACAAGGUCAAUUGUAUUAGAAGUGAAUCCUUAACAGAAAUGAGACAAUAAUCAAAUAAUUCAAAGACUACAUGGAUGUUAUCUGGACUAGCAUUUGUAUGACCUAAAUGUGGUAUUUUUCAUAUGAACACUUACAAGGCAGAUAAUAGUCUGUGACAAACAUUUGUAUGCAAUUAAAGACUUGAAGAACUUGUACGGUAUUCUUCAGAUUUCAGUAGAAACGGUACAUUCUUGGUAUGAAUUGAAGAAUUUUUGCUCAUUUAAAUGAAUUAUGAAAAUGUUUUAUAUGUUUAGAAUAAACAAAAACAACAUAAAAGAUAGACAAAUUUUUAUUUUCUUUCUUGAAACUUAUAACAGAAUAAAUUGUCAUAUGCUAA